ensembl:lncRNA
AUCCAGGGGUACCCUUAGAAUGACAGCCUAGGCGAAAGGAUAGCAAAGAGAGAACAGGGCUUGAUCUUCCUUGGUUAACACAGAAAGCCAAUAAAGCUCCUGUGUUUCAAGGAGUCAUCCUGAAAGAAGAACAGAGAGAGAAAAAGAGAGAAAAGGAAAAAAGAAUGACACGGGGAGACCAAGCUUCAUCUGUAGUAUUCUAAGGAAUGCACUGGAGAAGGAAGAAGGCUUGUGCAAGAAUAGAGUGUGGGGAACACUGAAAGGAACUACUAUGUGCAGGACACUACCAGAUGCUAGGGAUAGGAAGCAAGACACCUGGAGUAAUGUUCCCAGUGUGAUUCAAUAUAUUCUUUUUGUCUCUAUGAAGCUACAGAGAAAGGAGAUGCCAUCUGGAAGACACCUUUAAGGAAAUCAUCAGGUAGCCCAAAUAUCGCAAGUGGUCCAGAAAAGAAAGAACACCCCUGGGUAAAGGGAAAAAAAUGUGCCAAAGAACGGAAGCAUAAAAGAACAGGUCAUUUUGUGCGACUGUAACAUACACAACUGAAGCCUUGCCUGAAACCUAACAUCACUAGAAGUACUUGCUGGUAGUGAGGGAAUUCUGUGCGGAGGCUAUACUACUGGACUGCUACCAUCGUGAAUUAAUUGUUGCUCUUUGUUUAUGUCCAUUAACCUUCUGAAGUCCUAUUAAUUCUGAAUAAACUCAGUCAGCUCAGUUUUUCUGUUUGAGCCCAGGAGCUAAUGUUUGAAAGAAAGUUCCUCUGCACUAAUUCCAUGUUUUGGAUAAACUCUGUACAACGGAGCAAAUGGCUGAAGUCCAGAGCCCACAGCCCCAGUGGAAUAUACUUUUCAACCCCAAGAGACACCCUAUUUGACCAACAUACUAGACCUAUUUUUCAGAUUUUAAAGUCUUCUUCAAUAAGUA